GAUGCUUUCCAUGCAGUCGAACGGCAGCACGGGACUCAGGCAACUGAGCCCUGGUGGCGAGUGGCGAACGGGUGAGUAAUGUAUCGGAACGUACCCAGUCGUGGGGGAUAACUCUCCGAAAGGAGAGCUAAUACCGCAUACGUCCUGAGGGAGAAAGCGGGGAACCCCAAGGGUAACUGAGGGGCCUCGCGCGAUUGGAGCGGCCGAUAUCGGAUUAGCUAGUUGGUGGGGUAAAGGCUCACCAAGGCGACGAUCCGUAGCGGGUCUGAGAGGACGACCCGCCACACUGGAACUGAGACACGGUCCAGACUCCUACGGGAGGCAGCAGUGGGGAAUUUUGGACAAUGGGGGCAACCCUGAUCCAGCCAUUCCGCGUGAGUGAAGAAGGCCUUCGGGUUGUAAAGCUCUUUCAGCGGGAACGAAACGGUCGACCCUAAUACGGUCGGCUAAUGACGGUACCUGCAGAAGAAGCACCGGCUAACUACGUGCCAGCAGCCGCGGUAAUACGUAGGGUGCGAGCGUUAAUCGGAAUUACUGGGCGUAAAGCGUGCGCAGGCGGUGACAUAAGACAGAUGUGAAAUCCCCGGGCUCAACCUGGGAACUGCGUUUGUGACUGUGUCGCUCGAGUGUAGCAGAGGGGGGUGGAAUUCCACGUGUAGCAGUGAAAUGCGUAGAGAUGUGGAGGAACACCGAUGGCGAAGGCAGCCCCCUGGGUUAACACUGACGCUCAUGCACGAAAGCGUGGGGAGCAAACAGGAUUAGAUACCCUGGUAGUCCACGCCCUAAACGAUGCCAACUAGGUGUUGGGGAAGGAGACUUCCUUAGUGCCGUAGCUAACGCGUGAAGUUGGCCGCCUGGGGAGUACGGUCGCAAGAUUAAAACUCAAAGGAAUUGACGGGGACCCGCACAAGCGGUGGAUGAUGUGGAUUAAUUCGAUGCAAC
rnacentral:rRNA from 1 species